UCUCCAGCAUGGAGGCUUAAGAGAGAAUUGGAGGGUCCCAGCCACCGACCCAUUUGCCUCAGGAAGCCGAGUUCAUCUGGAUCCACCAUGGCCUGGGCUCCCCUGCUCCUCGCCCUGCUCACUUACUGCUCAGGGGUCAGGUCACAGCCUGUGGUGACUCAGGAGCCCUCCAUGUCGGUGACCCCAGGAGGGUCCGUCACGCUGUCCUGCAGCCAGAGCACUGGAGCCAUCACCAGCAGCAUCUAUCCUGGCUGGUUCCAGCAGAAACCUGGAUCAGCUCCUCGGCAGCUUAUACAUGGGACAAGUACUAGACCCUCCGGGAUCCCUGCCCGGUUCUCUGGGGCCAUAUCCGGUAACGCUGCCCUGACCAUCACCGGUGUGCAGGCAGAGGACGAGGCUGACUAUUACUGUUUUGUAGCAACUGGUGGUGCUCAUCACAGUGAUACAGCCAAAUGGGGAACUGAAAUAAAAACGUCUGCACAAGCUGCACAGUUUGGUGCUGCCUGCAAUAGGUGGCUGGCCCAGGGGUCAGCAUGA